UUGAAUUAGAAUUUAUGAAUCAUUAAAUGAAUAACACAUGAUUUCAAUACGUAUUUUAAAAUCAUAGAACCAAUAACACUGCAUUUAGUUUGGAUUUUCAAAUCCAUCAAAAUACCCUAACCAAUAACCUCCACUUAUUGUUGCCGUUCGCGCUGCUUCCAAGUACGCCUCCACCUCCGCCGCCUUGAAUAAGAUCAAAGACUCCCUCGAAGUCUCCGUCUCCGACCUCCGAUCACUGAUUCCGCCGUCUGAUGGCGAGAGUAGCCAUGCUAAUCAGCGUGUCGUGGUGGUUCGCGGAACCGUCGAAGCUAAAGUCACCGGCGAUGGGAGUCACAAGAACAACAACGACAAUAACGUGCUAAUCUCUCAAGAGACUGGAGAGAAAGCUCUUAUCAUCCAUAGAACUCAAACUUAUAUGUAUAGUGGAUGGAAGACUCUGUUUCAUUUGUCAAGUGGUCACCGGUUUCUUUUGGAAAGAUCUUUGCCCAAACAAGGAGCUGACUUUAUGAGAAUGGUGAGCUUUUGGCUCUAUCUAUGUUCAUCAAAAGUCAACCCGCUGGUCAUAGUCAAAUCGAUUUCUGGUCAAAGCUUGACCGGGUUGACUUUGACCAGCGGGUUGACUUUUCCGCAAACCUUGACCAGUCCCGUUUUAAACCGUUCGAAAGGCAUUCUAACUCGAUUUUUUGCCCUGAUUUCAGAUUUAGAGUCUAUUUGAGCAGCUGGAGUUCAUAGAUACCACUUUUCCCUAUUGCUAAGGUGAGGGCUAUUCCGUUAAAUCCCGAGCUAGUUUAGUACUACCAUUAUGGAAAGUUUAGUUUCGAAACAUGAUCCGUCUUUGUGAAUCGAGUCUAUUUGAGAGUCUUGCUUGUUCAUUAUUGAUAUUGAUUGUUAACUGGAAUUAGGAUAAUAGAGGAUUCAACGAUUGUGUGAAAUGAUUGAUGCUAAGAACUGCUAUAUAUAUGUAUAUACAUAGUUAUGAGUAGGGACUAUGUGAUGAGGGCGUGAGUUCAGAGAUGUCUGAGCUUCGACGCUACGGUGUGGUAUGAGCGUGAGUUCAGAGACGUUUGAGCUUCGACGCUACUGUUUGGGGCGUGGUGCAGAGACGUUUGCAUUCGACGCUAUGAUGGGCGGGGGUACAGAGACAGACUGUACUAGCGACGCUUCGAGUAUAUGUAUAUAUCCUUAUGAGGAGAUGCGUGGUGCAGAGAGUAGCUAUGUACUAUAAGCGCAUGAGUUGUAACGGCUAGUCCUCUAGCCGGAUAUUGAUUGUUAUGUGUGGUGUAAUAGGCACCGUGUUUGUUUCAUGCUAGAGCUAGGCCUACAUUUUAGUAGUGCUAUGAACUCAGUCUGUGGUUUGCGGUUUAGCAUCCCAUACCUCGCUGGGCAACUCCCCUGUUGCUCACCCCUCCUUCUUUCCCCCUUUUAGGUGAGACCGACGAGCAGGAGUGAUUAUCGGACCGGUGUAUUGGGCUUUUGGGCUUCUAUCGCUUUUACCGCUUUUAUCUUUAUCGGGCCUUUAGGCCUUUGGACUUUUAUCGUUUAUGUUAUUCCUAUUUCAGAUUUUCGGUUUAUGUCGUAUUUUAUAUUUCGGAUGUUAUCGAUGUUGGGCUUUUAGGCCUUUUGGUACCGUAUUGACUUUUAUAUUAUGAUAUGAAGAUUAUUAUUAUUU